UAAGUAAGUUCAUCCUGUCUAUCCUAGGUCUUCUACGAAUACUCUUGUUUGGCAACAGCACAUGUCAUCUCAAAUAUCAGUUAGAAAAACAAAACAUAAAUUGGGUGGUUUAUCGAGCAUCGAUACGUAUUGUUUUCUGUAAAUAGCAGACAUCCACUAUUUAUAAAUACACAAUUUUCUUGUGUUCUCUUUCCUUCGGACCUAUCUACUUGAAAAAUAGGCUACAAGUUGAUAUAAUGCCUUCUAUAUUUGAUGCUACGUACAAAUACAGGGAAGAACCUGGUCCUAAAACCUGUCAGUCCAGACGCAAUUUAGUUGAACCCAUUAAGCUUGGAAUUGCACUUGCUUCAAGGCUUUAUACAGCAAUUAAUGUAGGUUACGAUAGUCCUCCUUUUCUGCAUGUCACAAUGGAUAUUACAACGAUUAGAAAGUAGGGGUCGGGCGGUUUCUUCAAACUCUGAUAUCAUGUCAUGAACCAUUGUAUCCCAAUGAUUCGAAUUGUUGGAAGGAUUCAGAUUGGCUUUUAUAUUAUUUAUCAACACCAUAUGCAUUUGACUUUCAUGUCUGCCUCUUUUACUCUUUUUAUAUACUAGACAUAGAGGAUAGAGCUCUGUGACUAUCAGCUAUUUAUGUCUCAACUGUGGUGAUCCAUAUGCAUCAACUAGAGCCUGAUUAUGUCUAGGAUUGGAUACCAGAAUCCUCAUUUGGUUUCUGUGUCCAAACCUAGCACACCAGCUCUAGUAUUUGAUUGACCAAGGGGGGAUAUCGAUCGCCAAGGUUGAAAUUUUUUGUGGGAAGCAACAACUUGAAAUCGCACAGAGAAACAAAUCAAGCAAGGAAAACAUGAUGCUAGUGGAUAAUAAUUUGGUUAAGCUUAACGGUGGAAUGUAGGAUCUUACCACAGAAGAUUCAUCCGGAGGAUGUCGAGGUAUAGGGGUGAAGUCGGAUUCAUUUCCCUGGAACAGUGCCUUGGAUCACCUUUACGCAUCUUCCUGUUAGCUCGAGCUUCAGAGAAUAUCGUGGUGUAUGUAGAGGUUCCUGGACUAUGGCUUCCCUUUGCUUCCCAUUCUCCAAACUGAGGAACAGACUUCCAUCUAUUGUUCUGCAGUCCCGAAAUAAAAAAUGGCAGAGGUCAGUAAUUUAUCCAUAAGUUCACAUUUCAUGAUUCAUGCAUGCAACUAGCGGACGCUGGACGUUCUACCUGUUAUCAUUUAGAACCAUUUACUAAGAGGAAAAAGAAGAAAUCAAAAAUUUUGAGCUUGCUUUGGCUAAUAUCCCCCUUUGUUCAACAGUGCAUAUUAAACCUUAGCAAGCUCAAGGGAAUGGCAGGUGUAGUUUUACCUGGUGCUGCAUUGCAGUACCCAGACAGAGAAAAGACUAGGAAACAAAAGUACUAGACCAAGGUCAGGAAUGAAGGAAAAACUAAGAAUCUGUUUCUUUCUUGAAGAUUUUAUGUUUGUUUUUCUUUGAGAAAAUGAAAAAUGAUAUGCCUUGAUCUUUUUGCUAUUGUUGGCAAAUGAUGAAAUAUGAG
rnacentral:lncRNA from 1 species